GAUCGAAUUGAUUUAAUUCAUGUUUUAUUUAAACUUUAGUAUUUAUUUACUUCAUAUACGUAUAUAUAUUUGUUGUUUUAAAUCCGUUUGAAUAGGGCCCGUUGAACACGUGUAGAAGCUACAAGCAGCUAUUCGAACCUCUCAAAUCCGUAAUUAUUUGAGCAAUUCUAGCACCUAGCAGCGAUCAGUGUCGCAUUUAGGGGGUAAGUAAUCUGGUUAACUGGUUCACGCUGAUGAAUUC
rnacentral:lncRNA from 1 species